AUCCAGCUGAUCAAUCCCACAUAGGAUGAAACCCACGUUAUGGAU
rnacentral:hammerhead_ribozyme from 1 species